rnacentral:rRNA from 1 species
AAUAGAUACCCGGGUAGUCCACGCCGUAAACGAUGAGUGCUAAGUGUUAGAGGGUUUCCGCCCUUUAGUGCUGCAGCUAACGCAUUAAGCACUCCGCCUGGGGAGUACGGUCGCAAGACUGAAACUCAAAGGAAUUGACGGGGGCCCGCACAAGCGGUGGAGCAUGUGGUUUAAUUCGAAGCAACGCGAAGAACCUUACCAGGUCUUGACAUCCUCUGACAACUCUAGAGAUAGAGCGUUCCCCUUCGGGGGACAGAGUGACAGGUGGUGCAUGGUUGUCGUCAGCUCGUGUCGUGAGAUGUUGGGUUAAGUCCCGCAACGAGCGCAACCCUUGAUCUUAGUUGCCAGCAUUCAGUUGGGCACUCUAAGGUGACUGCCGGUGACAAACCGGAGGAAGGUGGGGAUGACGUCAAAUCAUCAUGCCCCUUAUGACCUGGGCUACACACGUGCUACAAUGGAUGGUACAAAGGGCUGCAAGACCGCGGGGUCAAGCCAAUCCCAUAAAACCNUUCUCAGUUCGGAUUGC